GUUCCCAUACCGAACACAGUAGUUAAGCUCAGUAGCGCCAAAAGUAGUUGGAGGAUCGCCUCCUGCGAGGAUAGGACGUCGCGAUGC
rnacentral:rRNA from 1 species